UUCAAAUCCAUAUAUCUUACA
rnacentral:sRNA from 1 species